rnacentral:rRNA from 1 species
CCAGCAGGGAUUGCCUCAGUAACGGCGAGUGAAGCGGCAAGAGCUCAGAUUUGAAAUCCGGUAUGCUUCGUGUACCCGAGUUGCAAUCUGGAGAGAGGACUUCGGCUUAGGCAUCGGUCAAGAUUCCUUGGAAUAGGAUGACAUAGAGGGUGAGAAUCCCGUACCUGGCUGACCGCCAACGCCAUGUGAAGCUUCUUUCGACGAGUCGAGUUGUUUGGGAAUGCAGCUCUAAAUGGGGGGGNAAUUCCAUCUAAGGCUAAAUAUCUGCGAGAGACCGAUAGCGCNCAAGUAGAGUGAUCGAAAGAUGAAAAGCACUUUGAAAGAAAGUUAAAAAGUACGUGAAAUUGUUGAAAGGGAAGCGCUU